GUAUUCAGCCGACACUGAGCCCUGCUGUAUGCUAACGAUUGCUCCUGAGUCUCUCGGGAAUACUCCUGUCUGGUGGGGAGGUGGGAGGACCCAUGAUAAAAUGUGAUCUCUAAUUGCAGAGUGACAGGAGCCCAGUGAGAACAGAGAGAGGAUAGGAUGGUGCUGGCUGCAGUGGCUGCUCCUGAUUCUCAUCGCCAACCUGGCUGAAAGCAUCCAGUGACAUGCACGCCACAGCCUGGGCUUCCUCGAGAUCACCUUCAUCUUGCUUGGCCUCCAUCUCCUCCACAGUCUCAGCAGGCAUAGAUAAAAGGGUUUCUGAAGAAGAAAUACCUGAAAGGAACACUGUGAAGGAGGAAGGCUUUAUUCUAGCUCACUCUUUCAGAGAUGUUAAUUCGUUUUUGGCCAGCUUCGUUGUGCCUAAGCUAUGGGUGAUGGGAGAGCAAGCUGGAAUGACUGCUGGAGACCCACCAAGAUCUUCACUGCCUGGGCUCAGGGACUCAGUCUGGUGUCUGCAUAAUGGCUUCCCCAGUUCUAGAACAGACCUCUGAAAAUGGUAGCUAUCCCACGAAGAUCUGCUGACAGAGUGAUUGAGCCGUGAAAAGCUCCUGACAUCUUGUUCUGAAAACUUCUCCCGUUCUUGCUGUGCCUUGGACAUGCGUUUGUUGCUGGAGAUCUUUGGCUAUUCCCUUGAUGGAGUUCUGUAGUGAAGACUAUGACCAUCAUUUGUGAACCCCAGCUGUGAGUCCAGGGACUGUCUAGAGGCACCAUGCCCAGGUUCCCAGGUAGACACUGUUUUCCUGCAGUAUGGCUGUGCAUGUGGGCUAGAGGUCACACCUUUGUACCGCUCUGAGGAUAAACACCUGAGCUCGCCGAGUUCUGCUUGUGGAUGGAUGCUGGAUGUUCCUUAGACAACUGCUUAUUAAACGAAGCUUGGGAAAGGUGA